rnacentral:rRNA from 1 species
GUGGAUAAUCUACCUUCCGGUGGGGGACAACGGCUGGAAACGGCCGCUAAUACCGCAUACGAUGAUCUCGCUUCGGCGGGAUUAGGAAAGGAGCUAUUGCUCCGCCGGAUGAUGAGUCCGCCCCCCAUUAGCUUGUUGGUAGGGUAACGGCCUACCAAGGCUUCGAUGGGUAGCCGAGCUGAGAGGUUGAUCGGCCACACUGGAACUGAGACACGGUCCAGACACCUACGGGUGGCAGCAGUAGGGAAUAUUGCGCAAUGGGCGAAAGCUUGACGCAGCCAUGCCGCGUGGAUGAUGAAGGCCUUCGGGUCGUAAAGUCCUUUUCUGAGGGAAGAACAAGCCGGGGAGUGGAAAGCCCCGGCCCUGACGGUACCUCAGGAAUAAGCAACGGCUAACUCCGUGCCAGCAGCCGCGGUAAUACGGAGGUUGCGAGCGUUGUUCGGAAUUACUGGGCGUAAAGGGAGCGCAGGCGGCUUGGUCAGUCUGAAGUGAAAGCCCGGGGCUCAACCCCGGAAGGGCUUCGGAUACUGCCUGGCUUGAGUACGUGAGAGGUGAGCGGAAUUUCAGGUGAAGCGGUGAAAUGCGUAGAUAUCUGAAGGAACAUCAGUGGCGAAAGCGGCUCACUGGCACGAAACUGACGCUGAGGCUCGAAAGCGUGGGGAGCGAACGGGAUUAGAUACCCCGGUAGUCCACGCCGUAAACGUUGUGCACUAGGUGUGAGAGGUAUCGACCCCUCUCGUGCCGGAGCUAACGCAUUAAGUGCAC